rnacentral:rRNA from 1 species
GAUGCUUGCAUCUGAACUUAGUGGCGGACGGGUGAGUAACACGUGAGCAACCUGCCUUUCAGAGGGGGAUAACGUUUGGAAACGAACGCUAAUACCGCAUAAAAUAUCGGAGUCGCAUGGCACUGAUAUCAAAGGAGCAAUCCGCUGAAAGAUGGGCUCGCGUCCGAUUAGGCAGUUGGCGGGGUAACGGCCCACCAAACCGACAAUCGGUAGCCGGACUGAGAGGUUGAACGGCCACAUUGGGACUGAGACACGGCCCAGACUCCUACGGGAGGCAGCAGUGGGGGGUAUUGCACAAUGGGGGAAACCCUGAUGCAGCGAUGCCGCGUGAAUGAAGACGGCCUUCGGGUUGUAAAGUUCUGUCGCAGGGGACGAAAAUGACGGUACCCUGCAAGAAAGCUCCGGCUAACUACGUGCCAGCAGCCGCGGUAAUACGUAGGGAGCAAGCGUUGUCCGGAAUUACUGGGUGUAAAGGGAGCGUAGGCGGGAGGAUAAGUUGAAUGUGAAAUCUAUGGGCUCAACCCAUAGCUGCGUUCAAAACUGUUCUUCUUGAGUGAAGUAGAGGCAGGCGGAAUUCCUAGUGUAGCGGUGAAAUGCGUAGAUAUUAGGAGGAACACCAGUGGCGAAGGCGGCCUGCUGGGCUUUUACUGACGCUGAGGCUCGAAAGCGUGGGUAGCAAACAGGAUUAGAUACCCUGGUAGUCCACGCGGUAAACGAUGAUUACUAGGUGUGGGUGGACUGACCCCAUCCGUGCCGGAGUUAACACAAUAAGUAAU